rnacentral:rRNA from 1 species
UGGGGGAAUAUUGCACAAUGGGCGAAAGCCUGAUGCAGCGACGCCGCGUGAGCGAAGAAGUAUUUCGGUAUGUAAAGCUCUAUCAGCAGGGAAGAUAAUGACGGUACCUGACUAAGAAGCACCGGCUAAAUACGUGCCAGCAGCCGCGGUAAUACGUAUGGUGCAAGCGUUAUCCGGAUUUACUGGGUGUAAAGGGAGCGCUGGCGGUACGGCAAGUCUGAUGUGAAAGCCCGGGGCUCAACCCCGGUACUGCAUUGGAAACUGUCGAACUAGAGUGUCGGAGGGAUAAGUGGAAUUCCUAGUGUAGCGGUGAAAUGCGUAGAUAUUAGGAGGAACACCAGUGGCGAAGGCGGC